AAAUGCGAUAAGUAAUGUGAAUUGCAGAAUUCAGUGAAUCAUCGAAUCUUUGAACACACAUUGCGCCCGCCAGUAUUCUGGCGGGCAUGCCUGUUCGAGCGUCAUUACAACCCUCAGGCCCCCGGGCCUGGCGUUGGGGAUCGGCGGAAGCCCCCUGCGGGCACAACGCCGUCCCCCAAAUACAGUGGCGGUCCCGCCGCAGCUUUCAUUGCGUAGUAGCUAACACCUCGCAACUGGAGAGCGGCGCGGCCACGCCGUAAAACACCCAACUUCUGAAUGUUGACCUCGAAUCAGGUAGGAAUACCCGCUGAACUUAAGC
rnacentral:misc_RNA from 1 species